rnacentral:rRNA from 1 species
AUUGAACGCUGGCGGCAGGCUUAACACAUGCAAGUCGAGCGGGGUGAUGGUGCUUGCACUAUCACUUAGCGGCGGACGGGUGAGUAAUGCUUAGGAAUCUGCCUAUUAGUGGGGACAACAUCUCGAAAGGGAUACUAAUACCGCAUACGUCCUACGGGAGAAAGCAGGGGAUCACUUGUGACCUUGCGCUAAUAGAUGAGCCUAGGUCGGAUUAGCUAGUUGGUGGGGUAAAGGCCUACCAAGGCGACGAUCUGUAGCGGGUCUGAGAGGAUGAUCCGCCACACUGGGACUGAGACACGGCCCAGACUCCUACGGGAGGCAGCAGUGGGGAAUAUUGGACAAUGGGGGGAACCCUGAUCCAGCCAUGCCGCGUGUGUGAAGAAGGCCUUAUGGUUGUAAAGCACUUUAAGCGAGGAGGAGGCUCUUUUGGUUAAUACCCAAGAUGAGUGGACGUUACUCGCAGAAUAAGCACCGGCUAACUCUGUGCCAGCCGCCGCGGUAA